rnacentral:rRNA from 1 species
AAUAGAUACCCGGGUAGUCCACGCCGUAAACGAUGAGUGCUAAGUGUUAGGGGGUUUCCGCCCCUUAGUGCUGCAGCUAACGCAUUAAGCACUCCGCCUGGGGAGUACGGUCGCAAGACUGAAACUCAAAGGAAUUGACGGGGGCCCGCACAAGCGGUGGAGCAUGUGGUUUAAUUCGAAGCAACGCGAAGAACCUUACCAGGUCUUGACAUCCCAUUGACCACUAUGGAGACAUAGUUUUCCCUUCGGGGACAACGGUGACAGGUGGUGCAAGGUUGUCGUCAGCUCGUGUCGUGAGAUGUUGGGUUAAGUCCCGCAACGAGCGCAACCCUUGUUCUUAGUUGCCAUCAUUUAGUUGGGCACUCUAAGGAGACUGCCGGUGACAAACCGGAGGAAGGUGGGAUGACGUCAAAUCAUCAUGCCCCUUAUGACCUGGGCUACACACGUGCUACAAUGGACGGUACAAACGGUUGCCAACCCGGCAGGGGGGAGCUAAUCCGGAUAAAACCCGUUCUCAGUUCGGAUUGUAGGCUGCAACUCGCCUACAUGAAGCCGG